GACGAACGCUGGCGGCGUGCCUAAUACAUGCAAGUUGAGCGAUGAAGAUUGGUGCUUGCACCAAUUUGAAGAGCAGCGAACGGGUGAGUAACGCGUGGGGAAUCUGCCUUUGAGCGGGGGACAACAUUUGGAAACGAAUGCUAAUACCGCAUAACAACUUUAAACAUAAGUUUUAAGUUUGAAAGAUGCAAUUGCAUCACUCAAAGAUGAUCCCGCGUUGUAUUAGCUAGUUGGUGAGGUAAAGGCUCACCAAGGCGAUGAUACAUAGCCGACCUGAGAGGGUGAUCGGCCACAUUGGGACUGAGACACGGCCCAAACUCCUACGGGAGGCAGCAGUAGGGAAUCUUCGGCAAUGGACGAAAGUCUGACCGAGCAACGCCGCGUGAGUGAAGAAGGUUUUCGGAUCGUAAAACUCUGUUGGUAGAGAAGAACGUUGGUGAGAGUGGAAAGCUCAUCAAGUGACGGUAACUACCCAGAAGAGGACGGCUAACUACGU
rnacentral:rRNA from 1 species